rnacentral:lncRNA from 13 species
CACAGAACGUGCUGGGGUCAAAGUUUAAAACUGCCACGUAGAUUACAACUAGUAUAACAUGUAUUCAUUUAAUUUCCGUCUGAAAGACUCCCCAGGAAUGAAGCUUACCUUCUGUACUACAUAACGAAGAUUUAUAUUAGUAUAUUUUCUGUCAUGCUUUUUAAAGUGCCAGGUUGUUGUGAUGGGACAGGUCAGUUUCACUUCUGCUCUGUGGUCAGGUUAUAGUGUGUGAUGAGACUGUUGGGGAAGAGGCUCAUUGUAGACACACAAAUUACACUUUAGACUUGUCUGUGUGUGGCUAGGAGGCCUUUUGUAAUGUAACUGAAUGUGACGACGGUCCAAAAUGGCCAAAUAAACGGAUCAUUUCUAGACUUCCCUGUGUGGCCAGUAGGAGCCAAAAUGACCGGUCCAGUUUCCUGACUUCCCUCUGGUUAGAAGGUUACAGUAGAGUGAGGCUGAAUGUAAGGAGCCAAAAUGGCAGAAUGACCGGUCCAGUUUCCUGACUUCCCUCUGGUUAGAAGGUUACAGUAGAGUGAGGCUGAAUGUAAGGAGCCAAAAUGGCAGAAUGACCGGUCCAGUUUCCUG